rnacentral:rRNA from 1 species
GACGAACGCUGGCGGCGUGCUUAACACAUGCAAGUCGAACGGAAAGGCCCUGCUUUUGUGGGGUGCUCGAGUGGCGAACGGGUGAGUAACACGUGAGUAACCUGCCCUUUACUUUGGGAUAACUUCAGGAAACUGGGGCUAUUACCGGAUAGGAGCUCCUGCUGCAUGGUGGGGGUUGGUAAGUUUCGGCGGUUGGGGAUGGACUCGCGGCUUAUCAGCUUGUUGGUGGGGUAGUGGCUUACCAAGGCUUUGACGGGUAGCCGGCAUGAGAGGGUGACCGGCAACAUUGGGACUGAGGUACGGCCCAGAAUGCUACGGGAGACAGCAGUGGGGAAUAUUGCACAAUGGGGGGAAGCCAGAUGGAGAAACGCAGCGUGCGGGAUGACGGCAUACGGGUAGUAAAAAGCAUUCGAGUGUGACGAAGAGUGAGUGACGGUAAUGGGUAAAGAAGCACCGGCUAACUACGUG